rnacentral:piRNA from 1 species
UUGGGUAAUGAAGCAGCAAUGAGGA